rnacentral:misc_RNA from 1 species
GGAAAGCCACUACUGAUAGCCGCCGUUAGGCGUGAUCCGGCGGGUAGUCUCCUCCUCUUGCGGGGCGCAUGGCACAUGCGAGACCCGGCCUUUCCAGGCUGGGACUUGUGAUGUGGCGGACCGUCCUGUGGGGAACUCAGUGGGGGCAAUUGGAUAGUGGGUGUGCGUGUGGUGAGGCCCCACGUGGCUUCGCGCUCUGCACCUGCUGUGCCAGGCCGCUUGCGGUCUGGUGCCGUCCAGUAUCAUACUCGGCCUCGUUCGCGGGGUGACGAGGGAGCGUGCUCCCUCGACACGAUAG